AGAGUUUGAUCCUGGCUCAGAUUGAACGCUGGCGGCAGGCUUAACACAUGCAAGUCGAGCGGUAACAGGGGGAGCUUGCUCCCCGCUGACGAGCGGCGGACGGGUGAGUAAUGCAUAGGAAACUGCCCAGUAGUGGGGGAUAGCCCGGGGAAACCCGGAUUAAUACCGCAUACGCCCUUUGGGGGAAAGCAGGGGAUCUUCGGACCUUGCGCUAUUGGAUGUGCCUAUGUCGGAUUAGCUAGUUGGUGGGGUAAGAGCCUACCAAGGCGACGAUCCGUAGCUGGUCUGAGAGGAUGAUCAGCCACAUCGGGACUGAGACACGGCCCGAACUCCUACGGGAGGCAGCAGUGGGGAAUAUUGGACAAUGGGGGCAACCCUGAUCCAGCCAUGCCGCGUGUGUGAAGAAGGCUUUCGGGUUGUAAAGCACUUUCAGUGAGGAGGAAAACCUUACGACUAAUACUCGUGAGGCUUGACGUUACUCACAGAAGAAGCACCGGCUAACUCCGUGCCAGCGGCCGCGGUAAUACGGAGGGUGCAAGCGUUAAUCGGAAUUACUGGGCGUAAAGCGCGCGUAGGUGGUUUGAUAAGCGAGAUGUGAAAGCCCCGG
rnacentral:rRNA from 1 species